rnacentral:misc_RNA from 1 species
GGACAAAACUGUGAGGUUUUGGAAUUUGGAUGGACGGAAGUAUGUAGAAUCGAAAAUCCUGCUAGGGCAUACGAGUUUUGUGGGUCCUUUGGCUUGGAUUUCGCCGGAUGAGGAGUACCCCGAGGGGGGAAUUGUGUCUGGUGGAAUGGAUACACUCGUCAUUGUUUGGGACUUAAGAACGGGUGAGAAGGUGCAGACGCUUAAGGGCCAUCAGCAGCAAGUCACUGGCAUUACGUUGGAUAAUGGUGACAUUGUGUCAUCCUCUGUUGACUGUACUUUAAGGAGGUGGA